rnacentral:lncRNA from 10 species
GAAAGAAAGAGGCAAUUAUUCAAAGAACAUGAUACAGACUAUGACAGAAGCAAAAGUGGGCUGUGGCUAUUUGAAAAUCAGAGCAUCUUUUAAAAGGGAGACGGCAUCUGAACCUUGCCGAGUAGGAAUGUUCCAGAAGUAAGAGAGAUGACUAGGGUUUCAAGAACAAGGACCAGCACCUAUGAAGGCUCUGAGGCACAGACCACUGUGACCUGUGGAGAAGUGACAGCAAAGUGAAAGGCACGUUUUGAUUACUACCGACAUUCACAGUCUGGACACGGGUGACAAAUCUAAAAGAUAUUGCCCAUUCGUCCAACUGCCGCUGUCCUGCCAGUAUAUCGUCUGAGAUUACCAUCAGCUAAAUAUUGCAUUGUCUUUGGACAAUUUUCCUACAUUGUGACUCCUCACUACAUUUUCAAUGCUUUUCUAGUCCCAGACAAGCUACAGACUGUUAAUUUACACUUGCUUUUGCCUUGCCUGAGGAAAUUGAAAAUAAAUUUUAAUUUCCUAGUCAAGGGCUACGGGUGCUUUGUGUGGUUUGGAGGAAAAAAAAAUACUGUUAGAUGGAAUUAGGGAAUAUUAGGAGAGUUUCUGAAGUUAGUGAAGGUACACAGUAAUUGAUCACUUGCCCUCAUAGUGAGAGGUCAUUCCAAUGAGCAGAGGUUCUGUCAAUAUCUGAGAUCUGUUUGAUACCUGGCCUCAAUCUGUCGAUCACGCCCAGUAACCAUAUUCAUAGGCUUCAGAUCUGAAUUUUGAAUUGCAUCAGAAGCUUUCCUCUGGCCUCAGAGAUGCCAUUGAGACCAUUCUCAUAGUUAGUCACCACUCACACUACACAAAAUGGAAGAAAAAAACUUCCUUUGGGGCAAAUCAACAAUCUCUGGUAGGAAAAUAAACAAGGAUGCUUUCAGAAUACCAGAAGCCCAAGUCUGAGCAUCUGGAGGCAAAGGAAGAGUAGAGAAGUCUUUGUUGGUGGGACCACUGCCUGUAGGAAUUUAAGGGAACUUGGAUCUUAGGAGUUGCUCAGUUAAGUCCUAGAGAGAGCCUAAGUGGGACUGAUGAGAAGCAGAACAAAUUGCUAUUUCUGAGAAGAAAAACCAACACUUUUGGAUGUUAACUUUUGGAUGUUUGAAUUUUUUGUUUUAGUUUUUAUUCCUUUUGGGAAAAGCUAUUUUUAUCGCAAAAAAAUAUGUAAAGCUAGCAACAAAAUAGUUGAAAGUAUUUAUUGUGUACCUACUGUGUGAUAAUAGCAGCUGGGUUUCAAACACAAGUGAAUAUGAAAUAAAUGAGCCCUAGAUGCACAAAAA